ACUCCCCUUCAGCAGAGCAUCCACUACAGCUGGAACAAUACAGAUCACCAUGGCCCUGCGCAAGGAUGACACCGCUGGCUAUUACCUGGAGUAA
rnacentral:snRNA from 1 species